UUCAGUUUGGUGACAGCAUGGGCAUGUGCUGGUGGAGCUAGACAGGAGUCGCUGUGAAACUUCCCUGUUUGAGCCGUCUGAUGGAGUUUGAACAGCAGCCGAGAUGGGUGGGAGCUGAAGGAGCUGCUGGAGUUAGAGGGAAUUUUAAAAAGGAAGUGCCUUUUAAUUCCAACUUGUGAUGUGCUCCCUGGACUGAAAUCUUACCUUGAAAUAGUGAUGCGUCAGGAGAAGCAGAAACCUCACACUUCAGGUACGACUGUAAGCAUUUCUGCUGCAGCUUCUCAUCAGAUGAGCCACUGCAUCCUGGGACACCACUCUCCCCUCCAGUACGAUGAAGACCAACGCCUGAUGCUGCUCCAUCACCAGCAGAAGAACAGCAGCUCUGCAGAGACCCGUCCUGCCAGCAGAGCAUCACGGAGAAGAAGACGCGCCUUCUGCUCACAGGAAGACGAGACCUUGCACUUCACUUGACCCCCUCCUCCAGGAGGAAGCAGGAUCAGCGCCCGGUGCUGCCCCAGUGCCGGCAGAAGAACAGCGGCUCUUGGAAGCGUGACCUGCUGGGAGAUCGUCGGGGAGAAGAGGACGCGCCUUCUGCGCCGAGGGAGCCUUCUCCUGUAAUCCCACCUUCAAUGAGACGAUGCUCAGCUGCUCCGGAACAGCCACGGAGGGAACGGACGGAAGAGGAGAGCCCAGAUGACUGCGCCCGUGUGAAGUGCCAUGCAGAGACUGAAUGCAGAGACUGAGCCAGCAAACAACGGAGUAGAUAGCAUAGAGAAUUAGUUAACACUAAAAUGUAUUAGUAUAGCAUAGUGCAGUUGUCAAAUAGCUUUGUAAAUAAAUUCACUUUGUUUGUAUCCUUAUCUUGUGUUGUGUAAAAUGAUGGGGAUGGGUAGUCUGAUACUUCAGGAAAUAAAUGAUUUGGA
rnacentral:lncRNA from 1 species